ACGACCUAAAGCCGGUCGUGGUUCUCUGCAAAUCCGCGCACGCAGCUCAUCAGUGGAUGCACGGCUGCACGGCGUCGCAAUGUGGCCUGCGUCAUUUUCUCGUGUUCGCAUAAUCGGUCGUUUGGACUCUACUUUUGGUGAGGAUGUCGAUCGACCUUGGGCCUGGUGACAGCACACCCGACAUCGCCAAAGUGCAGCCUGUCAGUUGAGUACCCCGAAUGGACCAUCAACAUCGGAAAAUGAAGCAGAGCAAGGGAGAAAAAGUUCCGGUAACACCAUGCAUUCAGUAUGGUGGCCCAAACGUGUAUGCAGGCAACCUCCUUCAUGUGGACCAAGAACUACUCUUCAGUGUCUCGCAGACUUCCAUGCGAAGCCCUCAACAUUCUCGUCUCAGUGGAAUGGCUGCUCAUCUAUCAGCGUGUCCAUCACCAAGACUGCCAGUUGUAAAGCUUCUGAACCCCUUCAAGAAAGCUUAAUGAUGUUUUUAUUUACUUUUCACGGUUGGCCGUAGAAUCAGAACAUUUUUGAUGUUUCUAACAUUUUUACCUGGCACAAAGCGGUGCAAUAACUUUAAACCAGUGUAAUGUAUUUGAGUGAUGCCCACUUUAAUGCCUAUCUCGUUUUGUUAGUGUUUAAGAAAUUUGAAUGUCUGAUGAGGUAACAGCAUUUGAAUUUGUCAUCAUGGCUCGUUUCAAUGAGCUGCUAGGAAAUAAGACGCAAAACUUACCACAUGCCAGUUGAAGCAUUUUUGUUUUCAUGACUGCAGUAUACAUGUUUCAAAAAAUGGAAAGUGGGGAAAAAAAGCCUCGAGAACAUAAUCAUCCUAUGAUUGUCAUGUCCUUACAGCUCUGCAAUGACUAAUGCCUCAUACAUCUUGGGAGCACAUUGGUGGCAAUGCCUACAGGUAUAUUUGAUAAGGGAAUAUCUUGCACCCAGAUUUGCCACACAGUUGAUGGCUGAUGGCUUUUUUUUGUCGUCUUUAUGUUAUUACUAUGUAUUCAAUAUUUAUUAAGAUGUAAAGUACACUACAGGCACUGAAGUACCAAAUGGCACUUGCAUUUCAGGGGACAAAGUGUCCAGCAUGCCUGUCACAAAACGUGUUCUAGGGGCUACCUUGCCUCUAUAGGUAAAUGGACACCAGAUGCUCUGUGUAGAAUGUAAUCGGUGUACUUGUCUGGAGUGCUUGAAAGAUGUGCUACGGGCUGUACUGGCACUGUCUGAAGAUAAUGCAUGGUUCUAGGAAGCCUGCAGCUGAGCUUCUGCCACCGUACUGAAGGAAGUGUCUUAAUUUAUUUUGUUGAUGUGGUUGACAUUUAGGGGCUGCCAUGAAUAGUUGUGACUGUGGCAGUACUGCCGAACUAAGGCACAAAUUACACACCUCGACUCGCACAAUGUACUCUGAAAGUUUUGCUACGUGGUAUGUUUGUUGCCUGACCUUAUGGCACCUUUACGAGCAGUCGCAGGUGAUUGCAGCUGUUGAGGCUUUAUCAACUGGCAAGGUAAAAAAGAAUGCUGUGCCACCAUGUGGCUGCACACUCCGAGAUGCAAGCUAUCUUGAACCAGGUGUUCGGUAGACGAUACCUGUGCAGCCAAAACGUAUUUUUUGAGCCCUAUAGGCAACUGCGUUCACAACUCCACACAAGUGUGCUGUCACAGCAGAAAGUUGAGAGCAAGCAGCAUUUUUACCGGUGUUUCUUCAAAACAUUAGUGCAAGUCAUUCUUUCACCAAGGCUGGUAAUCAUGCAUAGGUAAUGUGAGCAGGGCAUUUGUGACACACAAGGGGUCAUGUGUCUUAAGUUUAAUUAGAUCGGUAAUCUAUGAGAUGGAAUCAUAAAAUGUAUACCUUUUGUUCCUCAGGGGUCUCUUGGGGAGACAUGACCAUUUCCGGCACGUUACUUUUGACUUUUUAUGUCUAGAUUUAGUGUGCAUAUUGCAAUUAUAACUGACAGUCAGUCCUCUGUCCUGCCCAGUUUUUAUGCUGUCUUGGUGAUAUUUACAAUAUUUUGCAGUUCAACUGAGCGAAGUAUAUGUUUUUACUAUUACUAGUUUUCAUGUUCAACUUUUCUGGAGUGCUGACUAGUUAUGACUAGCUAUGUAUUGUUCACAUAUGUUCUUGGAUUGUAGUGCGAAGUGAAACGGACACAGACUAGAAGCAGACUGGACGCGCGCUAACUCUCAGCUAAAUUUUUAUUGAAACGAGGAAUAUAUAUAUAUAUAUAUAGGUGAUUGCAGAAAACGGCAGCAUAAGAACAUGACAAGGUAUGAAGGCAUCAGUUAAACAUAUCAGGAAGUAGGGAAGUCAAGAAGGGAAACAACAAAAAGACACUACGUCCGAUUAACACACGUGUUGUGAAGAUACUGAAAUUCGCAUUCUAACGGAGACAAAUAUGCAUGGCUAACGCGAGUCUCUUUUAAUC